rnacentral:misc_RNA from 1 species
GAUGAAGAACGUAGCGAAAUGCGAUAAGUAAUGUGAAUUGCAGAAUUCAGUGAAUCAUCAAAUCUUUGAACGCACAUUGCGCCCCCUGGCAUUCCGGGGGGCAUGCCUGUCCGAGCGUCAUUUCUGCCCUCCAGCCCGGCUGGGUGUUGGGCGCUGUCCCCCCGGGGACACGCCCCAAAGGCAGUGGCGGCGCCGCGUCGGGUCCUCGAGCGUAUGGGGCUUUGUCACCCGCUCGGGACGGACUCGUCGGCGCUGGUCUUCCUCCAGGCGACCCUUCGGGGCUCGUCUUCCUUCGGUUGACCUCGGAUCAGGUAGGGUUACCCGCUGAACUUAAGCAUAUCAAUAAGCGGAGGA